ACAAGUCUGGAGGCCUGGGCAGGGCUCUGCUCUGGAAUCUCCGGUGGCCUGUUCCAUAGGCCAGCGUCCCUUGUCCUUCCCAUAGCAGAAAUGCUUUCGUGAGUUGGAAACCCUCUGUGGUGACCUCUACAUCUUCUCAAGGUCAGUUAUCCACUUGUCCAUGGCUUCGUGCCCCCAUCCCACAUCCCUGUCCACUGCAUGGAAGGAGGAAAUCUAACCCACCCGCCACAGUGCAGCCCACACUCCCCACACUGCCCCGACAGGAACAUGACAGAAGGUUUCCAACUAAAACCAAAGUUACUCAGCAAAGCUUCCUGCCAGGCAGCCGUGCUGGAGGGCGCAGCGUGCCUCUGUCUGCUCUUUCUGUUCUAUGAAACUUCUCUGCUGCAAGCACUUGAGAGCCUCUUGGCUUCCUGGGGAGAGUGGACUGAACUUCAAAGCAGACACAGCUGCAGCUAAGAAGCCCCUGGGUUGCCUCAAAGACUCUGUCUCCUCCCAGUCUGAAGCUUCUGGUGAAUGUUUCUCCCUCAUUCCUGAAACAACAGAUAGAGCUGUUGAAGUUUACAACGUCCCCCAAGGCAUUUCUGUGUUUCUGCCUUUAAUCUAGGGCCCAAGUGACCACCCACAAGAAUGCCCCGAACACUCACUGCCUCAGGAUGCGUCCUGCAAUUUACAUUCCCGUGGUGCCUCUGCCUUCACCCCACGCUGGUGCCCCCGCCUCCACUCCAGCCGUCUCUCUGGCCACCCCUGCCCCCUCGCUUCUCUCCAUCAUGCCAAAAAGUGCCCUCGUCCUCUGACGGUGGAAGAGGGGAUUCAGUUAGGAGUCGGGAUGGCCUAUGUGAUUUUUGUACACUAUUCCAGAAUAGGUGUGUGGUUGCUUUAAAAAUCAAAAGAAAUGUGUCUUCCAAAUCUUUGAAGCCCUUUGAUUUCAGGAAGCUGUGGACCGUGUUUAGCCUGUGGCUCUGUGUGCCCCUUGGCUGCUGCUGCUGCUUACUCCUGAGGGUGAAGUUGCUAACAUAAGAAACGAGUAAUUUGGAUUUGCGCUUCUUGGAGAAAGAAUUGUGCCAUGAAAAAUGGAAAACUCCUGAGAAGCUGUUCCAGCGUCAGGAGAGCAGCAGACAAGCUGGACUGGGGAAGAUUCUUCCUGCAAGACCUGCAGAGUGUAUGACACAUAACCAGCACCCAAGAAAUGUCUACCGAGGAAUUAAUGAAUGAGGAAAUACCUCUGUACACUCACCAGACACUGGCUGCUGGUUGUCACGGUGCUAAGAGCUGUGGGAAACAUGAAGAGCAAUGAGACCAGGUCCCUGCUCUGAGGAGACGUGUGCCAGCGAAGUUUCUCUCCCACGUGAGUGUGCUACAAGAAAAUCUGAACCCGAGAAUCUGAUUCAGUAGGUCUGCACUUUCUCCACUUUGCCAGAUAAUUCUGAUUGAGACCGUCAAGGCUGUGACUAGUGGGGAGGCAGUAGAGUAUUUUCUGUGCUAGACUGAGGCAGCCCUGAAGCACUGCGCAAGCACAUGGAAAAGAGAAACGAGAUUGGGCCGGGCACGGUGGCUCAUGCCUGGAAUCUUUGGGAGGCCACGGAUCACUUGAGGACAGGGGUUUGAGACCAGCUUGGCCAACAUGGUGAAACCUUGUCCCUACUAAAAAUACAAAAAUUAGCAGGGAGUGGUGGUGCACACCUGUAAUCCCAGCUACUCUGGAGGCUGAGGCAAAAGAAUCGCUUGAACCCGGGAGGUGGAGGUUGCAGUGAGCUGAGAUUGGACCACUGCCCUCCAGCCUGGGUGAUAGAGUGAGACUCCAUCUCU
rnacentral:lncRNA from 1 species